UACAAUUUGAUGUAAAAUGCAUAAAGAAUUUUGAAUUCUUAGGAGUUGGUUUAAUUCCAAUAUUUGUAA
rnacentral:tRNA from 1 species